CCGGAUUUAUUGGGUUUAAAGGGUGCGUAGGCGGACUGGUAAGUCAGUGGUGAAAUCCUGCAGCUUAACUGUAGAAUUGCCGUUGAUACUGUUAGUCUUGAGUACAUUUGAGGUAGGCGGAAUGUGGUGUGUAGCGGUGAAAUGCAUAGAUAUACCACAGAACACCGAUUGCGAAGGCAGCUUACUAAACUGUAACUGACGCUGAGGCACGAAAGCGUGGGUAUCAAACAGGAUUAGAUACCCUGGUAGUCCACGCUGUGAACGAUGAUUACUGGUUGUUAGCGAUAUAUAGCUAGUGACUGAGCGAAUGCAUUAAGCAAUCCACCUGGGGAGUACGUCGGCAACGAUGAAACUCAAAGGAAUUGACGGGGGCCCGCACAAGCGGAGGAACAUGUGGUUUAAUUCGAUGAUACGCGAGGAACCUUACC
rnacentral:rRNA from 1 species